UACGUAGGGGGCAAGCGUUGUCCGGAAUCAUUGGGCGUAAAGAGCGCGUAGGCGGCCCAGUAAGUCCGCUCUGAAAGUCAGGGGCUCAACCCCUGAAUGCGGGUGGAUACUGCUGGGCUAGAGUCCGGAAGAGGCGAGUGGAAUUCCUGGUGUAGCGGUGAAAUGCGCAGAUAUCAGGAGGAACACCGAUGGCGAAGGCAGCUCGCUGGGACGGUACUGACGCUGAGGAGCGAAAGCAUGGGGAGCGAACAGG
rnacentral:rRNA from 1 species